UUAUUUGUUAUGAUAAAAGACGUUCAUGACUUCGAGUUUGUCGGUCCGGAGACCACGGUGCACAGGUGUGUGGAAGAAAGUGCUCACGCACAUCUCUAAUGAUCCUUCCGCAGGUUCACCUACGGAAA
rnacentral:misc_RNA from 1 species